CAUCACACUGCAAAGGAUUGGUGAAUGGCCCUAUCACACUUUGGAAAUGCUAAAUGCAAAGAAGCUCGCUCGCUCAUGGACUGGAAGGCCAAAUGUAAAAGAAUGAACAGCAGCCUCAGAGGUCAAAUAGUCUUUCUUGCUGAAGAAUGGACUGCACAUGGAACACGGGAUCUGAAAAUGGAAGACAAGUACAACUGAAGUUCCUUCUGGGCUACUAAAAGGGAAAUUGUCUGCUGGGAAAUGGGAUCAAAUUUUAACAAGAACAGCCGUGACAGCUCCAGUCCAUCACUUAACAUCU